GGAAGGGCCAUAGCUCACUGGGAGAGCAUCUGUUUUGCAUGCAGAAGGUCCCAGGUUCAAGCUCUGGCACUUGCA